UUAGAGCCAAAUCAAGCAGAAAGUGACAGUUUUAUUUGGCUGGCGGAUUGUUCAGAGACUUUCACGGUUAAAUCGUGUUACAAGUUGUUGUUACAGGAACACCAGACUGAAGAUUUAAGUGUAUAAUUGACAACAACUCUUGGAGUCUCGUUGAAGAAUAAAAUUCCUUCAAAAAUCUUGUUGUUUGGAUGGAGAGUUUUCCUCGAUCGUCCUCCAACUAAGGAUCAAUUACGAAAAAGAGACAUUCUAAAUGAAGUUAGAGAUUUAACUUGUGUUUUAUGUUUCGAGGAAGAAGAAAAUAUGUGUCAUUUGUUAUUUUAUUGUCUUGGUGUCAUUUGUUGAAUCUUAGCUGAGCAUUAAAUUGGAUAUUGAUUCAAACUGUAUUGUUAAUUUUAACAGGUGCAUGCUGCGAUGUGGAAAUAUUUCAGUUCGAGUAAAGUAGAUUUUAAUAGCGAACAUAUUGUUGGUUGUAAUUUCUAUGAUUGGUUGUAGCCCCUUUGAAUUGCUUGAAUAAAAGAUAAUUGUCUUGCUUUGUUUGUUGGUUUA
rnacentral:lncRNA from 1 species